rnacentral:tRNA from 1 species
GGUAAGAUGGCCGAGCGGUUAAGGCGUGUGACUCAAGC